rfam:Ailuropoda melanoleuca scaffold2498_8, whole genome shotgun sequence.
CCAAAGGCUCUUUUCAGAGCCACCCACUUUAUCGAAAGAGAGCUAU